rnacentral:rRNA from 1 species
UACGGGGGGGGCAAGCGUUGUUCGGAAUUACUGGGCGUAAAGGGCUCGUAGGUGGCCAACUAAGUCGGACGUGAAAUCCCUCGGCUUAACCGGGGAACUGCGUCCGAUACUGGAUGGCUUGAGUUUGGGAGAGGGAUGCGGAAUUCCAGGUGUAGCGGUGAAAUGCGUAGAUAUCAGGAGGAACACCAGCGGCGAAGGCGCUGCUCUGGGCCGGUACUGACGCUGAGGAGUGAAAGCGUGGGGAGCGAACAGG